AUUCUUAUGCAUGGGCAGGCGUUUCGUCCCGUGAAGUCUAUGACUGAGGAGAAACUAUUGCUUAAUCGAAAAUAAACCACCAAUACCGUCCACUUCGUACUUGUACGUCUUGGCAAUUUUUCACCUCUACUUUGU
rnacentral:snRNA from 10 species